CGUAGGUGGCGAGCGUUGUCCGGAAUUAUUGGGCGUAAAGGGAGCGCAGGCGGGAGGUCAAGUCUAUCUUAAAAGUGCGGGGCUCAACCCCGUGAGGGGAUGGAAACUGGUCUUCUUGAGUGCAGGAGAGGAAAGCGGAAUUCCUAGUGUAGCGGUGAAAUGCGUAGAUAUUAGGAGGAACACCAGUGGCGAAGGCGGCUUUCUGGACUGUAACUGACGCUGAGGCUCGAAAGCGUUGGGGAGCGA
rnacentral:rRNA from 1 species